GGCAGUGUUGUACCUGGAUGUGGGGUAUGGACUCUGCUAGAACCUGUUUCCACUGCUGGCUGGGGAUUUCUGCCUUUGCUGUGCUCCUAUUUCCCAGCUCAUCUUGGAAGGAGAGUUCUUCAGAUAAAAUAAUUUUCAUUAGAAAAUUCCUCUGAUGGGCUUAUGAACUUUUAAUGGGAGAUCAUCACUGAACCUUUUUUGUGUUCUCUGAAGUGACCUUGGCACACGGGCAAUACAUGAGCACACCUCAGUGUGAAAUUUUCUGAAGAAUUUUUAAUGCCUGCAAGUGGCACUUGAGUGGCUGAUUCCAAUAACUCCGGCAGUCAGUUGAUGAAGCAUUCUUUGCUUUAUGAUUUGAGUAAUAGAAGUGGUUGCAUGUGUGGUUAUAUAUCAGAAACACAGUUUAUCCAGCUCUUUUCAGUCCCUUUGAUCCACUGGAUGUGGCCACAGCACUGUUCAGUGCUGGUCAGUCGUUUUCAAGUCAGUGAGCAUCUGGGCUGGUCAUUAGCCAGCAGAGAGAUCAAUUCGGGCUGCUGGGGGUGUGUUUGGAGGAGAGGAUUGGAAUGCAGGAACUCUAUUGAUCCAUUGUCCUGGAUAAUCAACAUCACCACCAGCAGAUCUCAAAGCUGGGUGAGGACUCCAUGGAAUCUCCUUUCUGCUCUUGCACCUCUGUUCAACCAGGAGCGAAUCCUCCAGUCAGCAAAGAUGGCAAAUCUCCGAGAUUCCGAAUUCCCAACUUUGAUAAAGCAAUGAGCUAAUUAAUAAAGCAUAAAUUGUUAGCAUUUUUCUGUGGAGCACUGCCGAGGAUCCAUUAUUUUAUUUAGUGUAUUUGUCUUAAAGUGAUUAUGUUACUAAUUAUAAGGCUCACUAGUCUGUUUAACAGGAGUCCAAAUAAUUAUAAUUUGUUUGCAUUCCCACCCUGUGUAUUUUCAUGCAAUAAGGAAAACAUUUUGUUGAAUGAUUAAUCUUGUGCAUGCCUGUCUGUGUGUUUAGGAAAAUUAAAUGUCUCAUUUUUGUUCCAAAUGAGAGAUUUCUGGUUUUGCUACUCUUGUUCUCAAGGUGCAUUGGUAAAUUCUGAAGAAACUUGAGGAUAAAGCCACAGGGGGGAUGAUGGGCUCUUAGGGACUCAAUAUGUUCUAAAUAAAGUCCACAACAAAAUUCUUUUCAGUGUCAAAUUAUUUUGCAUAAUUUGUGUUUUUAAAAAAAACAGGUUGAAGUUCUUAUUUACAGGCUAUCUUAAAGCAAAAGAAAUCCUUCAGCCUUGGAAAGGAUUUGGCAGCCAAGUUCCAUUGCUCUUACUGGAGUAAUUUGAAGGACAAAAUUCAUAACAGGCUUUUCAAUAAAUGCUCAAUGGA